GGGGUUGUGGAUCAGUGGUAGAGGGCUCACCUAGCAUGUGUGAGGCCCUGGGUUCGGUCCUCAGUACCACA
rnacentral:tRNA from 1 species